rnacentral:lncRNA from 1 species
UCAUCCAUCAGUCCAUCCUCUGAAUCACACAUCCAUCCAUUAUCCAUCCAUCAUCCAUCCAUCCACUCACCAGUCAUCACCAAGGGCUGGUCUCUGGUGACUUCUCUGAAAAUGCUAUCAGAGAUGUCUAGAUGGAAAGAGGUAAGAAAGAAUAGAUGAUAAGAGAAAGGUCCAUAAGAAAGGAAAAGCAGAUGGAUGGAUAGGAAUAAGGAUGGAUAGAACAAAGGAAAGAAAAGAUGGAAGGUGGAGAGGCAGAUAGAUGGAUGCAUGGGAAGGACAAAAGGAUAGGUGAACAGAGGAGUGCAUGGAUGGGCAGAUGGAAAACUGGAGGGACAGAAGGAAGGAUCUGUUUAUUCACCUAUCAAAUUUUGAGAACCUCCAUACCCAAGUCAGGUCAUGCUGGUGCCUGACUAGUGAUUGAGACACGAGUCCUUGGCCGUAUCAUGGAUCUUUUGAGGAAGACACACGUUCCAGUCUGAGUAUAUUUGUGUGGGGCAGAGGAGGUGGGAAGAGAGUGACAUGGGAGUUCAGGGAGGGCUUCCCAGAGGUGGUGACAUUUGAUCCAAGUUUUAAAGAAUUGGCAAGAAUUCUUGACGUGUGGCAUCUACCAAGCAGAUAUAUAGAGAGUGAUGGAUUUCCCAAGGCCUUGUCCCUGAACCUAAGCCUAGGUGGGCACCAGAGAGCCUGGAGUGGCCUGCUCAAGCCUUCUGGGUCCCCCAUUCAUAUCCCCAGCCUGACAGCUCAUCAUCACCCCUGUGACUGAAUUGUUCCUCCCUGAGCCCCUGGCUUCCCUUCCUAGCUUGGGCUCCGGUUGGAAAAUGCUGAGGAAAUUGUUCACAGGCUGUUUGGCAGGAAGUCAUUCUGGGGCCAGGAAGACAGGAGAGAGGCCAAGCCAGAGAAGCCCCCAGGGCCAGAACGAGGGCCUGUACCACAGCGAGCCAGCCCCGAGUGUCCAGGAGACAGAGACAGAAGGAUGAGAGACCUACAGCAGAAGGUGACCGGGAGGCGUGGGGCGGCCCAGCGGGCUCUGCGAUGCGAGUUGAGCAUGAAGGUGCUGGGGCAGGAGCUGAGCUUUGUGAACUGUGGAGCCACAGGGAAUCACGUGAACCACCGGUACCUGAACCUGGCCGAGCUCGCCAUCAGGCUCAUGAAGGGGCAGCAGGUGCAGAUGAACCGGAGGCUGUGCCUGGCCACAGAGGAGCUGGUUUUUCCCACGGUGUCUGGCCUUCCUGCCCUGCUGACCCUAAACGCUUCAGCUGCCAUCAGCAUUCGGGUCCGAGGAACC